rnacentral:rRNA from 1 species
GUGGGGAAUAUUGGGCAAUGGGGGAAACCCUGACCCAGCGACGCCGCGUGAGGGAAGAAGGCCUUAGGGUCGUAAACCUCUGUUGUGUGGGAAGAAGAGCGUGACGGUACCACACGAGGAAGUCCCGGCUAACUACGUGCCAGCAGCCGCGGUAAUACGUAGGGGACGAGCGUUGUCCGGAUUUACUGGGCGUAAAGGGCGCGUAGGCGGUCAUUUAAGUCAGCUGUGAAAUGGUCCGGCUCAACCGGAUCAUGCGGUUGAAACUGGAUGACUGGAGUGCUGGAGAGGCAAGUGGAAUUCCCAGUGUAGCGGUGAAAUGCGUAGAUAUUGGGAAGAACACCGGUGGCGAAGGCGACUUGCUGGCCAGCAACUGACGCUGAGGCGCGAAAGCCAGGGGAGCAAACGGGAUUAGAAACCCGUGUAGUCC